UACGGGGGGGGCAAGCGUUGUUCGGAAUUACUGGGCGUAAAGGGCUCGUAGGCGGCCAACUAAGUCGGACGUGAAAUCCCCAGGCUCAACCUGGGAACUGCGUCCGAUACUGGAUGGCUUGAAUUCGGGAGAGGGAUGCAGAAUUCCAGGUGUAGCGGUGAAAUGCGUAGAUAUCUGGAGGAAUACCGGUGGCGAAGGCGGGUCUCUGGGCAGUAACUGACGCUGAGGAGCGAAAGCGUGGGGAGCGAACAGG
rnacentral:rRNA from 1 species